rnacentral:rRNA from 1 species
UACGUAGGGUGCAAGCGUUGUCCGGAAUUAUUGGGCGUAAAGAGCGUGUAGGCGGCCCGAUUAGUCCGCUGUGAAAGUCCAGGGCUCAACCCUGGAAUGCCGGUGGAUACUGUCGGGCUAGAGUCCGGAAGGGGCGAGUGGAAUUCCUGGUGUAGCGGUGAAAUGCGCAGAUAUCAGGAGGAACACCAAUGGCGAAGGCAGCUCGCUGGGACGUGACUGACGCUGGGACGCGAAAGCGUGGGGAGCAAACAGG